CGGGAGGCAGCAGUGGGGAAUAUUGCACAAUGGGCGAAAGCCUGAUGCAGCAACGCCGCGAGAGUGAUGAAGGCCUUCGGGUCGUAAAACUCUGUCCUCAAGGAAGAUAAUGACGGUACUUGAGGAGGAAGCCCCGGCUAACUACGUGCCAGCAGCCGCGGUAAUACGUAGGGGGCUAGCGUUAUCCGGAUUUACUGGGCGUAAAGGGUGCGUAGGUGGUUUCUUAAGUCAGGAGUGAACGGCUGCGGCUUCNCCGUNGUUNGCUCUUGUUCCUGGGUUCCUUGAGUGCCGGGGGAGGAAAAGUGGUUUUCCUUAGUGUAGCGGUGANNUGCGUCGUUCUUAAAAGGNCCCCCCGUCGCGUGGGCGGCUUUCUGGCCUGUAACUGACACUGAGGCACGAAAGCGUGGGGCCCCAAAAAGAUUAGAUACCCUGGUAGUCCACGCCGUAAACGAUGAGUACUAGGUGUCGGGGGUUACCCCCCUCGGUGCCGCAGCUAACGCAUUAAGUACUCCGCCUGGGGAGUACGCUCGCAAGAGUGAAACUCAAAGGAAUUGACGGGGACCCGCACAAGUAGCGGAGCAUGUGGUUUAAUUCGAAGCAACGCGAAGAACCUUACCUAAGCUUGACAUCCUUUUGACCGAUGCCUAAUCGCAUUUUUCCCUUCGGGGACAGAAGUGACAGGUGGUGCAUGGUUGUCGUCAGCUCGUGUCGUGAGAUGUUGGGUUAAGUCCCGCAACGAGCGCAACCCUUGCCUUUAGUUGCCAGCAUUAAGUUGGGCACUCUAGAGGGACUGCCAGGGAUAACCUGGAGGAAGGUGGGGAUGACGUCAAAUCAUCAUGCCCCUUAUGCUUAGGGCUACACACGUGCUACAAUGGGUGGUACAGAGGGCAGCCAAGUCGUGAGGCCGAGCUAAUCCCUUAAAGCCAUUCUCAGUUCGGAUUGUAGGCUGAAACUCGCCUACAUGAAGCUGGAGUUACUAGUAAUCGCAGAUCAGAAUGCUGCGGUGAAUGCGUUCCCGGGUCUUGCACU
rnacentral:rRNA from 1 species